CAAAGGACCACAGCCCGGUGACCAUAGGACAUUCCCAGCAGAUGAGGCAGCCUCCAUUAAAAAGCAACAUGGAUUCUCAUCCCCAGAUGUCUGAGAGAUAAGUUCAGGGCUAAGGCCCACAGAGGGGAUGAAAGCAAAGUGCUGGGAGGGCCUUUUGAAACAGCUUUGGGGGCGGGGAUGUUUGAGAAGUGUCCCCUUAGACCCUCUAAAGGGAAAGUGUCCGUUUUGAUCACAGUGCUGAGGUGCGCAGGGCAGAGCAGUUCCGGUGUGUGUCCUGUCACUUGUCUCUGGUGCACUCUGUGUUCUUUGGGUCUCCGAGUCCUUUCUUCUUGUCGAAAGCUCUCGCUCCCUGUCCUGUCCCCUCGAUGGUCGUGUCCUGUCCUGUGUCACGGGUGUCUGCACAUAUUUGUCCCGGAGCUGCUCUGCCCUGCUGCCUAGCCUGUAAUAGCACAAGUCCUGGGGACUUGAAAUUGGUAAUGCAGGGUGUAUUUGGGCUCUAGUUUUUAUUUGUUGAUUGCCCUAACAUUUUUGGUUCUAUUAAGUUGUCCUGCAGCUGUUUCACACUAGUCCUAACUUCCUUUCAGAUGCAGACAGUUCAAAUCAGUGGCAGAGAGCCCCAGUGCUCGGUGAGGGUGUUGCCAUGAGCAGGUCAGUCAUUGUUUGCAUUUGCAGGGGAAGCCUGAAUGGUGACUGUUACAGCAGUGUUCUUUGACUUCAUUUUUAGGAGGUCCAGGCAGAUAGCAGCAGUGAAGGCCCAGUGUGCCAGGGAAUCAUCUCAGUGUGCGCAUACCUCUGUCACCAACUGGCUGAUGGACCAGGUUUCAUGCACUUGUGAUCUCGCUGGAAGCAUUGCAGGACCCUGUGAUGGACCUUCCAGUUUUGCAUUUCAAGGCCCCAUCCUGGUAGCCCAGAGGAAUGGCUGAGCAGUUGCAGUGAGUCGGGGAAGUCGGGAGGAGGAGUGAGAGUCCACUUGUGUUUCAGCAAUGCCAUGUUGCCUUGUCUUCACUUAACCUAGGUGUACCCUGCAAUGACGGCGUCAGAAUCCAAGCACGCCCGACGCGUGCAGGCCAAGAACCCGGGCAUUCUGAGGAGGAUGACCAAGAAGUGACAGCUAUAACUUACCAGGCAGGCAGACGGCGUCCUUCUGCAGCCAACAGGGAUUUGCAUCCCCAGAUGUGUGCAAGAUAAGUGGAGGGUCAUGACCCACAGAGGGGAUAAAAGCAGGGUGCUGGGUUGGGCCUUUCUAGAAGGGCUUUUGAUGUCCAAGAAGCGUAUACUUAGUCCACCUAAAGGGAAAGUGUCUGUUUUAAUCACAGUGCUGAGGUGCGCAGGGCAGAGCAGUUCUGGUGUGUUUCCUGUCACUUGUCUCUGGUGCACUCUGUGUUCUUUGGGUCUCUGAGUCCUUUCUUCUUGUCGAAAGCUCUCGCUCCCUGUCCUGUCCCCUCGAUGGUCAUGUCCUGUCCUGUGUCACGGGUGUCUGCACGUAUUUGUCCCGGAGCUGCUCUGCCCUGCUGCCUAGCCCGUAAUAGCACAAGUCCUGGGGACUUGAAAUUGGUAAUGCAGGGUGUAUUUGGGCUCUAGCUGUUGCUUGUGUCCAUUGUUUGCCCUAACAUUUCUGGUGCUGUUAAGUUGUCCUGCAGCUGUUUUACACUAGUCCUAACAUCCUUUCAGAUGCAGACAGUUCAAAUCAGUGGCAGAGAGCCCCAAUGCUGGGUGAGGGUGUUGCCAUGAGCAGGUCAGUCAUUGUUUGCAUUUGCAAGGGAAGCCUAAAUGGUUACUGUGUUACAGCAGUGUUCUUUGCCUUUUUUUUAGGAGGUCCAGGCAGAUAGCAGCAGUGAAGGCCCAGUGUGCCAGGUGAGCAGUGGACAGAAGCAGUUGUUCUUGCUCAGGUCUCAAUGUUUGGUGCAACUCUAAGCAUCCAUUCUUGUUUGUGUGCUUUAGGGAAGCCACUUGGAGUAUGCCAAGCUCCUCUCACCAGCUGGCCGAUGGACUUCCUGCGCUUGUGAGUCCUCUGGAAGUAUUUCAGGACUCUUGAGAUGAAGCCUUGAAAUUUUGUAUUUCAAGAUGGCAUCCGGGUAGCCUUUGGCAAUGGCCAAGGAGCUGUGGCAGACGAUGAGAGAUGACGAUGGCAGCCUCUGAGCAUUGCCAAAGUGUGGGGCCCGAGCAACCAGGCAUUCGUACGAGAUCGCUGAGCACGGGACUACAGCCCGGUGACCAUAGGACAUUCCCAGCAGACGAGGCAGCCUCCAUUAAAAAGCGACAUGGAUUCUCAUCCCCAGAUGCCCAAGAGAUAAGUCGAGGGCUAGGGCCCACGGAGGGGACAAAAGUGAGGUGGUGGGAGGGCCUUUUAAAUCAGCUCUGGGGGUGGGGAUGUUUGAGAAGUGUCCCUUUAGGCCACCUGAAGGGAAAAUGCUUCUUUUGAUCACAGUGCUGAGGUGCGCAGGGCAGAGCAGUUCCGGUGUGUGUCCUGUCACUUGUCUCUGGUGCACUCUGUGUUCUUUGGGUCUCCGAGUCCUUUCUUCUUGUCGAAAGCUCUCGCUCCCUGUCCUGUCCCCUCGAUUGUCAUGUCCUGUCCUGUGUCACGGGUGUCUGCACGUAUUUGUCCCGGAGCUGCUCUGCCCUGCUGCCUAGCCUGUAACAGCACAAGUCCUGGGGACUUGAAAUUGGUAAUGCAGGGUGUAUUUGGGCUCUAGUUUUUAUUUGUUGAUUGCCCUAACAUUUUUGGUUCUAUUAAGUUGUCCUGCAGCUGUUUCACACUAGUCCUAACUUCCUUUCAGAUGCAGACAGUUCAAAUCAGUGGCAGAGAGCCCCAGUGCUCGGUGAGGGUGUUGCCAUGAGCAGGAGGUCCAGGCAGAUAGCAGCAGUGAAGGCCCAGUGUGCCAGGUGAGCAGUGGACAGAAGCAGUUGUUCUUGCUCAGGUCUCAAUGUUUGGUGCAACUCUAAGCAUCCAUUCUUGUUUUUGUGCUUUAGGGAAUCAUCUCAGUGUGCGCAUACCUUUGUCACCAACUGGCUGAAGGACCAGGUUUCAUGCACUUGUGAUCUCGCUGGAAGCAUUGCAGGACCCUGUGAUGGACCUUCCAGUUUUGCAUUUCAAGGCCCCAUCCUGGUAGCCCAGAGGAAUGGCUGAGCAGUUGCAGUGAGUCGGGGAAGUCGGGAGGAGGAGUGAGAGUCCACUUGUGUUUCAGCAAUGCCAUGUUGCCUUGUCUUCACUUAACCUAGGUGUACCCUGCAAUGACGGCGUCAGAAUCCAAGCACGCCCGACGCGUGCAGGCCAAGAACCCGGGCAUUCUGAGGAGGAUGACCAAGAAGUGACAGCUAUAACUUACCAGGCAGGCAGACGGCGUCCUUCUGCAGCCAACAGGGAUUUGCAUCCCCAGAUGUGUGCAAGAUAAGUGGAGGGUCAUGACCCACAGAGGGGAUAAAAGCAGGGUGCUGGGUUGGGCCUUUCUAGAAGGGCUUUUGAUGUCCAAGAAGCGUAUACUUAGUCCACCUAAAGGGAAAGUGUCUGUUUUAAUCACAGUGCUGAGGUGCGCAGGGCAGAGCAGUUCUGGUGUGUUUCCUGUCACUUGUCUCUGGUGCACUCUGUGUUCUUUGGGUCUCUGAGUCCUUUCUUCUUGUCGAAAGCUCUCGCUCCCUGUCCUGUCCCCUCGAUGGUCGUGUCCUGUCCUGUGUCACGGGUGUCUGCACGUAUUUGUCCCGGAGCUGCUCUGCCCUGCUGCCUAGCCCGUAAUAGCACAAGUCCUGGGGACUUGAAAUUGGUAAUGCAGGGUGUAUUUGGGCUCUAGCUGUUGCUUGUGUCCAUUGUUUGCCCUAACAUUUUUGGUGCUGUUAAGUUGCCCUGCAGCUGUUUUACACUAGUCCUAACAUCCUUUCAGAUGCAGACAGUUCAAAUCAGUGGCAGAGAGCCCCAAUGCUGGGUGAGGGUGUUGCCAUGAGCAGGUCAGUCAUUGUUUGCAUUUGCAAGGGAAGCCUAAAUGGUUACUGUGUUACAGCAGUGUUCUUUGCCUUUUUUUUAGGAGGUCCAGGCAGAUAGCAGCAGUGAAGGCCCAGUGUGCCAGGUGAGCAGUGGACAGAAGCAGUUGUUCUUGCUCAGGUCUCAAUGUUUGGUGCAACUCUAAGCAUCCAUUCUUGUUUGUGUGCUUUAGGGAAGCCACUUGGAGUAUGCCAAGCUCCUCUCACCAGCUGGCCGAUGGACUUCCUGCGCUUGUGAGUCCUCUGGAAGUAUUUCAGGACUCUUGAGAUGAAGCCUUGAAAUUUUGUAUUUCAAGAUGGCAUCCGGGUAGCCUUUGGCAAUGGCCAAGGAGCUGUGGCAGACGAUGAGAGAUGACGAUGGCAGCCUCUGAGCAUUGCCAAAGUGUGGGGCCCGAGCAACCAGGCAUUCGUACGAGAUCGCUGAGCACGGGACUACAGCCCGGUGACCAUAGGACAUUCCCAGCAGACGAGGCAGCCUCCAUUAAAAAGCGACAUGGAUUCUCAUCCCCAGAUGCCCAAGAGAUAAGUCGAGGGCUAGGGCCCACGGAGGGGACAAAAGUGAGGUGGUGGGAGGGCCUUUUGAAUCGGCUCUGGGGGUGGGGAUGUUUGAGAAGUGUCCCUUUAGGCCACCUGAAGGGAAAAUGCUUCUUUUGAUCACAGUGCUGAGGUGCGCAGGGCAGAGCAGUUCCGGUGUGUGUCCUGUCACUUGUCUCUGGUGCACUCUGUGUUCUUUGGGUCUCCGAGUCCUUUCUUCUUGUCGAAAGCUCUCGCUCCCUGUCCUGUCCCCUCGAUUGUCAUGUCCUGUCCUGUGUCACGGGUGUCUGCACAUAUUUGUCCUGGAGCUGCUCUGCCCUGCUGCCUAGCCUGUAAUAGCACAAGUCCUGGGGACUUGAAAUUGGUAAUGCAGGGUGUAUUUGGGCUCUAGUUUUUAUUUGUUGAUUGCCCUAACAUUUUUGGUUCUGUUAAGUUGUCCUGCAGCUGUUUCACACUAGUCCUAACAUCCUUUCAGAUGCAGACAGUUCAAAUCAGUGGCAGAGAGCCCCAGUGCUCGGUGAGGGUGUUGCCAUGAGCAGGUCAGUCAUUGUUUGCAUUUGCAGGGGUAGCCUAGGUGGUGACUUUGUUACAGCAGUCUUUAUUCUUAGGAGGUCCAGGCAGAUAGCAGCAGUCAAGGCCCAAUGUCCAAGGGGAGCAGUGGACAGAAGCAGUUGUUUUUACUCAGCUUUCGGUUUCUGGUGCAAUUCUAAGCAUCCUUUCUCAUUUUUGUGCUUUAGGGAAUCGACUCGGAGUACUCAUACCUCCAUCACCAACUGGCCAACGGACCGGUGCCAGGAGCGUGGCUUCUCGUUUUCCAGCCUUCCUUGCUGUGGUGGUUUUGAGGAACUUACUGGAUGGUUUUCUUUUGUUCAUAGUUGGUGUAGGAGAAGGGCCAUGGUGUGCUUUUUGCUUGUUACGGUUCUUGCUUCAGGUGCUCAUGACAAGUGUUUUUUUUGGGUUGAGUCUUGUGGUUGGAUUUCUUUUUGAUGGGUUCUUAUGUUUUUGAAGGAUGUGUUUUUAAAGGUUUAUAAUGUUUUUUAUGGGUCAUAGCAUGAAGUAGAGGGUAGGUUUUUAAUUCGGCUGUGGAGGCUUUUAUUGGCGUGAGUAUGUAGUGGUUUAUUUUGGUUGGUUUGAGGUAGUGUCCUGUAGUUAAUUAUUGAGGUUUUUUCAAUAUUGAUAAUUGCAUUCUUGUUUAUUAUGUUGUAGGGGUUUUAUUUGUCUUGUUUGAUUGCUUUGUGUGUUUUAUUGUCUCAGACAAUUUGGGAGUUAUUAUUUAUGGUUACUUUUCUCUUUUGGUGACAUGUUUAUUUCUAGGUGGUAUUUGUGUUUUGAUGGUUUAAGGCAUUCUGAGGUCCUUGAGUUAGGAAUUAUUAUUUUGUUGUUGUGAAUAUAUAUUUUUUUUUGUAGUUGGAUGUAUUUGUUGGUUUUUAUUAGUUUGAUUUUUGGGAACAUGGGUAUUUCUAUGGUGGAUCUUUAUAGCUAGGUAUUUUAUUUGGGUGGUGAGUUUUUUGUUUCUUCAUGGUUUCGAUUUUUUUUAUAUCUGUAAUUAUUUGGGGGGAGUUUAGUUAAUUUUUUAGAGUAUUGGGUUCUCUUGAUGAGUUAGUGUAGUGGUAGGGUAUUGUUUGGGUUUUUUUUAGAAACAUUUGGGAUCUGUUGUAUGGUUUGGAGUAUAAGAGGUUAGUUGAAGAGUUUUUUUUCUUUUUAGUGUUUUUUUUUUGUUUUGUGUGGGUUUUUAUAGGUGGGUUUUUUUAAUUAAUGUUCCAUUUUUGUUAUGUGAUAAGAACUGUUAGUGAAAGGAGCGUAGUGGGGUUUUUUUUGCUGGUAGUUGGUUGGCUGGUGGAGCCUUUCUGAAUUUUUUGGAUGGUAUUCUUGGUUAUUCGAUGCUGUUUGUUAUGGCAUUUUAUUUUUAGGAAUUGGAUUAUAACUGCAGAGUUCUAACUGUAACUCUAAUGAAACAAAACACAUGCAUAAAUAUGAAAAUGGGAAUAUAAAACUUCAAUUUUAAAUAUAAAUGGAAAACAUAUGAAUAAAACAUGUAACAUGAA